UAUUGUAUAAUUGUAUUACUGAUUUUAAUACUAUUUAAUUUAUGCCAUUAUAAUUUAGUUUACCAGACGACAACGAACACAGACACGGAACGUAUAAUCUAUUCGAGGACGACGCAAGCUAUUUAAGACAGAGUUUCUCAAGAGAGAGAUGUGCCUGUCGUAACUCAAUACCCGAAACGACACAACGAAUGCGUUCACAAUACGCAAGAGCAGUCUCAACAACAACAAAGUAAUAUGGGUUUAAGUAAAAGUAUACAUUUCAUUUAUACCACUAUUGAAAUUGUAAAGAAAUCAAAAACU